UGCGUAGGUGGCGUGGUAAGUCGGGUGUGAAAUUUCGGAGCUUAACUCCGAAACUGCAUUCGAUACUGCCGUGCUUGAGGGCUGGAGAGGAGACUGGAAUUUACGGUGUAGCAGUGAAAUGCGUAGAGAUCGUAAGGAAGACCAGUGGCGAAGGCGGGUCUCUGGACAGUUCCUGACACUGAGGCACGAAGGCUAGGGGAGCAAACG
rnacentral:rRNA from 1 species